rnacentral:rRNA from 1 species
UACGAAGGGGGCUAGCGUUGCUCGGAAUCACUGGGCGUAAAGCGCACGUAGGCGGAUCUUUAAGUCAGGGGUGAAAUCCUGGAGCUCAACUCCAGAACUGCCUUUGAUACUGGGGAUCUCGAGUCCGGAAGAGGUGAGUGGAACUCCGAGUGUAGAGGUGAAAUUCGUAGAUAUUCGGAAGAACACCAGUGGCGGAGGCGGCUCACUGGUCCGGUACUGACGCUGAGGUGCGAAAGCGUGGGGAGCAAACAGG